rnacentral:lncRNA from 1 species
AAAUACUAAAAUGCUUAAAUAAAAUAAUAACCUCGAUGGAUAAGGACUCACUACUAUAACUGCUGCUGAUAGCCUGGGCUGCUAAGUACGGUCAGGAACCUGAGCGUUCAAACCUAUAUAUGAGAUAUCAUAGCGUAAAGAAAGAGUAUGCAUCAGUACGUGAAACAUACUGGUAUACUAAGUGAGGUAGGCUGAUAUACAUGGGUUCAUUUGCAUGAG